GGAGAUAUGGCAGAGUGGUAAUGCAGCGGCUUGGAAAGUCGUAACGUGUAAUAGCGUCGGGGGUUCGAAUCCCUCUAUCUCCG
rnacentral:tRNA from 1 species